rnacentral:lncRNA from 1 species
GGGUCAAGGAGCAGUACAGCACUGGUGUACACACGUUUCUACGUGAGUCUUCAAAUGUUUGAAUCUGCAGACGGCUUUUCAUGACGAAGUGGUUUUCGUGUCCGAGAAGACAGGAAGAUGCAACACCGUGGCAAAGGUCUUUAUUGAUCAGAUGGUCCAAGCCGACACAGGCAACAGGAUGGUUACCAUGAAGAAGACGAACAAGAAGAGUGGGAAGGACACCCACGCUGAGGAAGAGAUCUCAGAAAACACUUCCAUAAACCAGGGGAAUAACGAAGGAGUGAAGAAGAAAAAGAAGACGAAAGGAGAGACUCUGGUAGAAGAAGAGCAGGUGUCAUCCAAUGGGGAAGGGGGGAAUACGGAAGGAGAGCAGGAGAAAAAGAAAGGGAAGAAGAAGAAGUUGUCGUCUGGGACCAACGCUGAGGAAGCCAUGACUAAUGGAAAUGACGGAGGGUGCGGCCAGAAGAAGAAAAAGCAGAAAGGUGUUAACACUGUCAAAACGGAGGUAGAGACAGAACAGAGUGAAUUAAAGGACGAGAAAGGAGUAGUGGAAAAUGGGCCAAAGCAGAAAAAAAAGAAGCUCUCUCAGGCAGAAGAGACAGAGAUCAGCGUUGUCAAGGUAGAGGAAGGAGAGAUGAUAGAAAUAAAGAAAGGCAAGAAAAAGAAGGGAAAAACAGAGGAAGAAAAGAAAGUGAAAAAGAUCCCUAAAGCUGCUGAACCAACUGAGGAGAGUCAGGAGGGGGAGACGAAGAAGAAGGGUAAGAAGAGAGCAGUCGCUGAGAAAGGAGAGGCAGAGAAAGAAAUGGUAGUAAAGAAGAAGAAAGGAGAGACGAAAGAGAGAGAGAGCGGAGAGGCAGUGAAAGAAAUGGUAGUAAAGAAGAAGAAAGGAGAGACGAAAGAGAGAGAGAGCGGAGAGGCAGAGAAAGAAAUGGUAGUAAAGAAGAAGAAAGGAGCUGAGGCCACAGUAGCAGUACAGGAGGAGGAACAGAAUAACACCAAAAAGAAGAAACCCAAAUUCUCCAGCAGCGCUGCAGACACCACCAUGGAGACGGAAGGAAAGGAGGGCAAGAUGAAGAAAG